rnacentral:rRNA from 1 species
UGGGGAAUAUUGGACAAUGGGCGCAAGCCUGAUCCAGCCAUGCCGCGUGAGUGACGAAGGUCUUCGGAUUGUAAAACUCUUUUGGCGGGGACGAUAAUGACGGUACCCGCAGAAUAAGCCCCGGCUAACUUCGUGCCAGCAGCCGCGGUAAUACGGAAGGGGCAAGCGUUGUUCGGAAUCAUUGGGCGUAAAGGGCGCGUAGGUGGUCUUGUGUGUCUAUCGUGAAAGCACACGGCUCAACCGUGUAAAGUCGGUGGAAACUGCAGGACUUGAGGUUGGGAGGGGCUGGUGGAAUUCCCUGUGUAGCGGUGAAAUGCGUAGAGAUGGGGGAGAACACUUGUGGCGAAGGCGGCCAGCUGGACCAAUCCUGACACUGAGGCGCGACAGCGUGGGGAGCAAACAGGAUUAGAUACCCUUGUAGUCCCUGAGCGGGCUGGCAAGGCGCAU